GACCAAUCAAAUACCUAUGGUUUGGACCAUAAAAGUAAACAACAAACUAAUCAAAGAUACCGAGAAAAAAGAUAUAUUGAUAAGAAUGAUUUUGAUGGAUCGAUCGCAAGAUAUG